UGAGGUGGCCACCGCGUGGAUCUGUGGGGGCAAUACGGAGAUCAGGGCAGUCGGCUUGACCGGCCUGUGACUCAACGUAGCCUUCAUGUGGUGCAAUGUGGCCAACGUGGCCAACGUGGAGCUCAGAAUGGUCAACUUGACCUGUCUGUGGCCCAGCGUGGCCCUCAUGUGGCUCAGUAUGGCCAGCAUGUGGCUCCAUGUGGCCAACGCAGAGCUCAGUGCAGUCAACUUGACCAAUCAGUGGCUCAGCAUGGCCAAUUAUGGCCAACGUGUGGCUCCAUGUGGCCAACAUGGAGCUCAGAAUGGUCAACUUGACCUGUCUGCGGCCCAACGUGGCCCUCAUGUGGCUCAGUAUGGCCGACAUGUGGCUCCAUGUGGCCAAUGUGAAGCUCAGUGCAGUCAACUUGACCAAUCAGUGGCUUAGCGUGGCCAAUGUGUCCAUCACGUGGCCUGGUGUGGCCAACAUGGAGCUCACAGGGGUCAACUUGACCAAUCGGUGGCUCAGCGUGGCCCUUACGUGGCCCAGUAUGGCUCCAUGUGGCCAACACGGAGCUCAGCGCAGUCAACUUGACCAACCUGUUGCUCAGCAUGGUCCAGUAUGGCCAACGUGUGGCUCCACGUGGCCAACAUGGAGCUCAGAGUGGUCAACUUGACCAAUCUAUGGCUCAGCGUGGCCCUCAUGUGGCCCAGUAUGGCCAACAUGGCCGACAUAUGGCUCCAUGUGGCCAGUGUGAAGCUCAGAGUGGUCAGCUUGACCAAUCUGUGGCCCAGCAUGGCCUGGUGUGGUCAACAUGGCCAAUUUGCAGCUCCAUGUGGCCAACGCAGAGCUCAAUGCAGUCAACUUGACCAAUCAGUGGCUUAGCACAGCCAACGAGUCCAUCACGUGGCCUGGUGUGGCCAACAUGGAGCUCAGAAUGGUCAACUUGACCUGUCUGUGGCCCAACGUGGCCCUCAUGUGGCUCAGUAUGGCCGACAUCUGGCUCCAUGUGGCCAACGCAGAGCUCAGUGCAGUCAACUUGACCAAUCAGUGGCUCAGCGUGGCCAAUGUGUCCAUCACGUGGCCUGGUGUGGCCAACAUGGAGCUCAGAGUGGUCAACUUGACCAAUCGGUGGCUCAGCGUGGCCCUUACGUGGCCCAGUAUGGCUCCAUGUGGCCAACAUGGAGCUCAGCACAGUCAACUUGACCAAUCUAUGGCUCAGCAUGGUCCAGUAUGGCCAAUGUGUGGCUCCAUGUGGCCAACAUGGAGCUCGGAGUGGUCAACAUGACCAAUCUGUGGCCCAACGUGGCCCUCAUGUGGGCCAUUAUGGCCAACACAUGUGCCUCCAUGUGGCCAACAAGGAGCUCAGCGCAGUCAACUUGACCAAUCAGUGGCUCAGCGUGGCCGUCAUGUGGCCCGGCAUGGCCAACGUGUGGCUCCAUGUGGCCAACAUGGAAUUCAGAGAGGUCAGCUUGAACAAUCUGUGGCCCAGCAUGGUCUGGUGUGGCCAGCAUGGCCAAUAUGUGGCUCCAUGUGGCCAACAUGGAGCUCAGAAUGGUCAACUUGACCAAUCAGUGGCUCAGCGUGGCCCACAUGGCCGUCAUGUGGCCUGGUGGGGCCAACAGGGAGCACAGUGUGGUCAACUCACACAAUUCAUGGCUCCAUGUGGCCAAUAUGUGGCACAAUGUGGCCAAUGUGUGGUUCAGGGUGGCCAACGUGGCCAAUGUUCAGCUCUGCGUGUCCAACACGGAGCUCAGUGUGGUUGACUCACUUAAUUUGUGACUUGAUGUGGCCAAUAUGUUGGUUAUUGUGGCCAACAUGGAGCUCAGUGCGGUCAACUCACCCAAAUUAUGGCUCAUCGUGGCCAACAUGUGGCUCAGUGUGGCUUGAUGCAGCCGAUGUUGAGCUCCAUGUGUUCAACACGGAGCUCAGUGUGGUUGACUCACCCAAUUUAUGGCUUAAUGUGGCCAAUAUGUGGCACAAUGUGCCCAAUGUGUGGUUCAGGGUGGCCAAUGUGAAGCUCAUCAUGGCCAAUGUGUGGCUUGAUGUCGCCAGUGUGGCCAAUGUUGAGCUCCACGUGUCCAAGAUGGAGCUCAGUGCAGUUGAUUCACACAAUUUGUGGCUCUGUGUGGCCAAUAUGUGGCUCUGUGUAGCCAAUAUGUGGCUCAAUGUGGCCAACACGGAGCUCAGUGUGGUUGACUCACCCAUUUUAUGACUGGAUGUGGCCAAUGUUGAGCUCCAUGUGUCCAAGACGGAGCUCAGUGCAGUCGACUCACCCAAAUUAUGGCUCAGUGUGGCCAAUUUGUGACCCAGCGUGGCCAAUGUUGAGCUCCACGUGUCCAAGACGGAGCUCAGUGCGGUCAACUCACCUAGUUUAUCACUUGAUGUGGCCAGUCUGUGACCCAGUGUGGCCAAUGUUCAGCUGAAUGUGUCCAACACGGAGCUCAGUGCGGUCGACUCACCCAAAUUAUGGCUCAUUGUGGCCAAUAUGUGGCUCAUUGUGGCCAGUGUGUGGUUCAGGGUGGCCAACGUGGCCAAUGUGAGGCUCAUCAUGGCCAUUGUGUGGCUUGAUGUGGCCAAUGUGGCCAAUGUUGAGCUCCACGUGUCCAAGACGGAGCUCAGUGUGGUCGACUCACCCAAAUCAUGGCUCAAUGUGGCCAAUGUGAGGCUCAUCAUGACCAACGUGUGGCUUGAUGUGGCCAACGUGGCCAAUGUUGAGCUCCAUGUGUCCAACGCGGAGCUCAGUGUGGUCGACUCACCCAAUUUAUGACUUGAUGUGGCCAGUCUGUGACCCAGCGUGGCCAAUGUUCAGCUCCAGGUGUCCAAGGCGGAGCUCAGUGUGGUUGACUCACUCAAUUUAUGGCUCAAUGUGGCCAAUAUGUGGCUCAUUGUGGCCAAUGUGUGGCUCAGUGUGGCUUGAUGCGGCCGAUGUUGAGCUCCAUGUGUCCAACACGGAGCUCAGUGUGGUUGACUCACCCAAUUUAUGGCUUAAUGUGGCCAAUAUGCGGCUCACCGUGGCCAGUGUGUGGCUCAGUGUGGCCAACAUGGAGCUCAGUGCGGUCGACUCACCCAAAUUAUGGCUCAAUGUGGCCAAUGUUGAGCUCCACGUGUCCAAGAUGGAGCUCAGUGCGGUCGACUCACCCAAAUUAUGGCUCAAUGUGGCCAACGCGUGGCUCAUCGUGGCCAAUGUUCACCUUCCCGUGUGCAGCACGGAGCUCAGUGCGGUCCUUCCAUCAAUUCCUGGCUCAUUGUGGCCAAUGCUGAGCUCCACGUGGCCCACAUCCCAGAGGUGCCCCGCGCCGGUUGGGCUCAGGCCGUGGGGUCCCCGGCCUUGGGAGC